CAGCAGCAGCCGCGGUAAUACAGAGGGUGCAAGCGUUAAUCGGAAUUACUGGGCGUAAAGCGCGCGUAGGUGGUUCGUUAAGUUGGAUGUGAAAUCCCCGGGCUCAACCUGGGAACUGCAUCCAAAACUGGCGAGCUAGAGUAGGGCAGAGGGUGGUGGAAUUUCCUGUGUAGCGGUGAAAUGCGUAGAUAUAGGAAGGAACACCAGUGGCGAAGGCGACCACCUGGGCUCAUACUGACACUGAGGUGCGAAAGCGUGGGGAGCAAACAGGAUUAGAUACCCCUGUAGUCCCUGUCUCUUAUAC
rnacentral:rRNA from 1 species